UGGGGAAUAUUGGUCAAUGGGCGGGAGCCUGAACCAGCCAAGCCGCGUGAGGGAUGAAGGCCCUAUGGGUCGUAAACCUCUUUUGUCAGGGAACAAAAGCGAGUAUGUAUACUAGUCUGAGUGUACCUGAAGAAAAAGCAUCGGCUAACUCCGUGCCAGCAGCCGCGGUAAUACGGAGGAUGCGAGCGUUAUCCGGAUUUAUUGGGUUUAAAGGGUGCGUAGGCGGCGGUGCAAGUCAGCGGUAAAAGCCCGGGGCUCAACCCCGGCGAGCCGUUGAAACUGCAGUGCUAGAGAAGGCGAGAGGUACGCGGAAUGCGCAGUGUAGCGGUGAAAUGCUUAGAUAUUGCGCAGAACUCCGAUUGCGAAGGCAGCGUACUGGCGCCUGACUGACGCUGAGGCACGAAAGCGUGGGGAUCGAACAGGAUUAGAUACC
rnacentral:rRNA from 1 species